CUCGUUAGAUCACCGAAGUUAAGCAUCAUUGGGCGCGGUCAGUACUUAACGGUGGUGACCACCUGGGAACACUGGGC
rnacentral:rRNA from 1 species